rnacentral:rRNA from 1 species
UGGGGAAUAUUGCACAAUGGGCGCAAGCCUGAUGCAGCCAUGCCGCGUGUGUGAAGAAGGCCUUCGGGUUGUAAAGCACUUUCAGCGAGGAGGAAGGUGGUGAGCUUAAUACGCUCAUCAAUUGACGUUACUCGCAGAAGAAGCACCGGCUAACUCCGUGCCAGCAGCCGCGGUAAUACGGAGGGUGCAAGCGUUAAUCGGAAUUACUGGGCGUAAAGCGCACGCAGGCGGUUUGUUAAGUCAGAUGUGAAAUCCCCGGGCUCAACCUGGGAACUGCAUUUGAAACUGGCAAGCUAGAGUCUCGUAGAGGGGGGUAGAAUUCCAGGUGUAGCGGUGAAAUGCGUAGAGAUCUGGAGGAAUACCGGUGGCGAAGGCGGCCCCCCUGGACGAAGACUGACGCUCAGGUGCGAAAGCGUGGGGAGCAAACAGAUUAGAUACCCUGGUAGUCCACGCUGU